rnacentral:lncRNA from 1 species
GAUAGUAGUUACUGACAAUUUAAUAAAUUUAUUUAAAAUGAUUUAAUCUUUCUCAAAUCAAUUUCUCAAAUCGUUUCUCAAAUCAAUUUCAAUUUCUCAAAAUAUCAUAAGAACUUACUCAAACUCAUUUAAUGCAAAUCAGUUCAUUGAAACACUAUAAUACAUUUAUUCGCAUAAAAUCGAUGGAAUCAUAUAAUACUCAUCAUAUCAAAUACUGAAGACUAAAAACUGUCAUCAAACAAGUACCCAAGGGAUAAUCUGAUCAUAUCCGGACCUCGACGGACGGGCAAUGACGUACUAUCUGGGUAGCGUCACGCCCCGGAGCUACAACGGAUAGAUGGGGACGAUCUCAUCUCAUAUCUCAUAUAUCUGUACUGUGCAUGCAUAAGCCCCCAAAAGGCAAAAGCGCCCGAACACACGGCCCAAAGCCUCUAUGUGUGUCCCGACGGGCCCCAAAGGCCUCUAUCUCAUCUUAUCUGUAUCUCUUUUCUGUAUCUCUUUUCUCAUCUCAUAUUAUCUGUUUCUCUGUAUCUGGAGGGAAGGGUACUGUCUAAUGAUUUCAAAAAUAACAUAUACAUAAACAUAGAAUCUCAUCUGAAAUCUCAUUUUCUUUCUAUUCAACAUAUCUCAAAAUCUGUUCAAUUCUAAUAUCAUGCCUUUACUCAAAAACGCUAAUAAAAUCAUUAAUCAAACUCAUUCUCAAUAACAAUAAAGACCAACACAUAGAUAAAAAUUAAUUUGCCAGAAAAUUAUUUAAUCGAAGCAUUAAAUACUUAUCAUAAAACCAGCAUAUACUAUGAAAAUAGGUUUUGUAUAUUCCACUCACAGUGAUGAUGUCUAGACUCGGUAUCAACAACGUCCGCGGGUUGAUUCUCGUUCGCGGAUGCGGAUCCUCCUAAUCACGGAAACACUAUAAUUAUUCUCCGUAAAUAGAAAUACAACCAAUUUAAUAUAAUAAAUCUCGAAUCAAAUCUCUAUUAACGAUAAACUAUUCCCGCAUGAGUAAAAUUACCAAAAUGCCCCUACAUGCCAAAAUUACCAAAAUACCCCCAACAUCAAUAUUUUACCAACUUAUCCUCAAACUUCAUUAUUUUACCAAAUUAUCCUCAUAUUCGGCAAUUACCAUAUUGUCCUCAAUUCAGAUUACAUAAAUUAAUCACAUUGUCUGAAAUUACGAAAUUACCCUCGGGGCAUAAAAUUACCGAAAUGUCCUUAACGUUUAAAUUACCGAAUUGCCCUCGAAAUCACAAAUUACAUCAUUGCCCUCACUCAAAAUUACCAAAAUGUCCACUAAUUACAUAAAAUUACAAAUUCACCCCAAAGUUUCAUGAAUUUAUCGAAUUGCCCCUGCUGGUCAACGGUGACCGAUCAACGAUGACGGGGAGCUUUGGUCAGCUAGUUCCGACCUCGGUGAGUGCAAUGGUGGUGCCCGUGAGUCCCCACGCGCGGCGGCAACGGCGGAUCGAAGCUCCAAAAAAAUCUGAAACUUUCCGGUGGUCGUUCGACGAUUUUCCGGCAUCCCUGGUGGUCGUGGUUGGUCAGAAAUUGUUGCUGGAGAUGUGAGGAACCAGUUCCAAGUGGCGGUGCUUCACAAACCCGGCGGAAUCAACGGCGACGGAAAAGGAUCUUGGCUGCGACUUUCGAGCUCAAAUCGCCGGCGUUCUGGUCGGUUUUCGGCGACGAGGACCACGGGGAUACGACGGUCGGCUUCCAAGCUUCAGAUCGGUACCAAGCAUGACCGGUAAGGUGGCCGAAAUUAGGAGAUCCGUUUGGGUCAAUAUCGCGGGUCCGGGUCGGGUUUUCGGGUCAACGGGUCAAAAUUCCUCUCUCUGUCUCUCUCUCUUUCACGGGUUCUCUCACUUUGUUUUUGAAUUCAAAAACAGUUCCCCUUCACCAAUUAUACAAUCCGACCCCUUUUUUUUUUAAGCUUAAUACAAAUUAAGCUCAAUUCGGACCCGUGAUGAAAAUAAAAUCCGACCAUCGGCGUGUGUAAUCGCGCUCAAUUUAUUUCAAUAAAUUGUCGUGAUGAAUUUAAAAAUCAUAAGCGAAGAGGAAAAAUUAAAUCGCACUCUUAAUUAAGAAAUCCGAAGUGCAUAUGUUACACAUAUGGAACCUUUACCUUUAAAAGGUUACCUUUUGGCCUGUGCAAUGCUACAGCAAUUUUUCAGAGGUAUAUGAUGCCUAUCUUUUUCAGUUUUUGGGGAAUCAUAUGCUGUGACACAACUUAAAAGUGAUUUUUAAUUUCCAAGUAUAAAAGUGUCUUAUUAUAUUAUAGUUCGGUGAGUCCGAGUUCGCUCCACAGAGAAAAAAUUUAAUUUAUUUUAUUUUAUCUAAAAAUGAAAAUAAAACUUGAAUAUAUGCAACUUAGUUUAAGUGAAACUAUGAAAUUAAAUUAGUUAGGGUUAUGGAUCCACUCUUAGUAGUAAAUAAAAUUUAAUAAAUUUUUUUUGUCAUUUUUUAUUUAGGUUUAUUUUCCAAAAGAUUAAUUAUAUAAAUUAUUAAUAUUUUCCCAUUAAUUUUAUUAUGGAUUAAGUAUUUAUUGUGCAAAAAUUUAAUUUGUCUAUAAUAAGUUAAAAUGCCAUUUUACAAGACCUUAUUUUAAGAUAUUAAGAAUUUAUUGUAUCAAAACCCCUUAUUUGUCUACAAUAAAUCAAAAUUUCAAAAUAUAAAAUAUGCAUAAAAUUAAAUAGAAAAUAAUUUAAUUUAUAUAAUUAAAAAUAGAAUUUGAUCAAAUCACGUUUAUUAUUUAGCUAAGCAUAAUUGAAAUAAAAAUAAUUAUUAAAAUUAAAUUACUCAUAAUUAAAAGGAAUAAAAACAACUAAAAUUGAAAAUAAAAAAUAAAUUUAUUCAUAAAAAUAAUUAUGCAAAAUAUUAAAACACAGCUGAAAAAUAAGAUUACAUGGAAAUUGAGAGAAAUUGAGAAGAAGAGAGAUGGUCAAAACAUAAAAAUGAGACUCUUUAUGGAAAAAUACAUUCAUAACCCAAUGUUUUGUGGUCCAUCAUAAGCUAUAUGCAUACGCUCCUCACAACCAUUAGAUCAUGAUCCAACGGUUCGUCAAACUUCAAAAGAAAACAUUACACAUGGCAUCAUCUAAAGCAUUGGAUUCGGUCAAAAAACGGUUGAGAUUUGGUGGGUUAAUGGUUGGAUCGGGUCGACCCGAAUACAAAGGUUCAGAUCCUACAACUUGCUUCACCAAUCAUUGCCACGUGGCACAAUCGUGGCCAUUGAAUCAUAAAUUAUUGAGAUUUAGUCAAAAUUGACAGUUAUCUAAUGCACUUAUAUCUAUUCUAAGCUCAUUUUAUCAUCCAAUCAGUGCUCGGGCAAUAGAAAAAAUCAACUUUGUGAACAAGUUCAAUUUUAAACCGAUCUUAACUCAUCUUAAGGUUUUCAGACCUCCGAAAUCUAAAUUUGACAUCUAUUUAUCUGUUUGGAGCCUCAAAUUACGUGAAUUUAAUAUUUUACUGAAUAAACACACAACAAUACAAAUUAAAUAUAGUUAAGACAUAAUUAAUAAUUCCUAAUAUAUUACAUAAACACAAAUAUAACAUUUUUAUCGCUUGGUAAUCAAACAAUUUUUAAUACUAAUCAUGCUGAUUGUUUGCAUAAUCUAGAAAAUGUCCUAAAGAGAUGUGAGGAGACUAACUUAGUGUUAAAUUCGGAGAAGUGCCAUUUUAUGGUACAAGAAGGGAUAGUCACAAGCCAUAUAGUCUCUAGAAAUGGAAUAAAGGUGGAUAAGGCAAAAAUAGAGGUGAUUGAUAAACUUCCACCACCUACGUCAGUAAAAGGCAUUAGGAGUUUCUUAGGACAUGUUGGGUUCUACAAAAGGUUCAUUAAAGACUUUUCCAAAAUAGCCAAACCCUUAUGCAUGUUGCUAGAACAUGACAGACCCUUCAAUUUUGAUGAGAAUUGUUUAAAGGCCUUUAUUGAGUUGACGAAAGCUCUUAUUACAGCACCAGUUGUUGUAGCACUAGAUUGGAGUAUGCCUUUUGAGUUGGUGUGUGAUGUUAGUGACCAUUUUGUUGGAGCAUUACUAGGGCAAAGAAAAGGCAAGAUUUUUCACUCCAUUUAUUAUGCCAACAAGACUCUAGCUGAUAAACAACUCAAUUAUACUACCUGAUGUAGAUUAAGAAUCAAUAUUAUACUAGGAUUAGUUUCCUUAUUAUCUUAAGUUUAGGUCUUAGUUUCCUUUCUAGUUUAAAACUUUAUUUUCCUUUUACUUCAUAGUUUAAGAUAAUUGCUACUAAUAUAAAUAGCCCUCUCUCGUAGCCCUUAAAGGCAGAUUUUUUUGUUCAAUAAUAUUUUAGUUUUCAAAACUCUGUGUGAGUAUUUGAGUUUAGUUAAUUCUCAGUAUUCUGCGGAAUCAACGAGUUUCAACCCCUAAAUUCGUUGUAUUCUUUUGAAUCAAUGUGAAUUUAGUUUGUUCUUUUAUUUCGGUAUUUUCUAAAAAUCAACAGAAUAUUGGAACUAUUAACUUCUGCUGCAUUAGCUUGGUAUCAGAGCCAAACCCUGGUAUUACCUAUUAGCUUGCCUUUUUUAUUUUAUAUCAACAGAAUAUUGGAACUAUUAACCUUUUCUAAAAAUCAACAUAAUAUCUACCACCAAACCUUUUCUUUUUCCUUUUUGAUUUUUCUCGUUUAGCUUUAUAAAAAAAAAAACAAACAAACGAAACAAAAGCAAAAACCUCAGCCUGCGGCCACCGUCUAAGGCUACCGGCCACUGAUUCGGACGCAACCACCACCAAUUAGGAAGCAUUGGCCAUCAAAUCUCAAGCAUCUACGACCGCCGAUCAGCCACAUAACGCUGGAAAAAUUGCCAAAACAGUUGUGGUUCAACCUCCAUCGUUAACCAGUUUCUGCCACGUUUUGGCCAUCACCACUACCACCAAUAAACUCAUCUCCAUUAGCUGAACCUCUCUCACUUAUCCCUACUGUCAAUCACCAGACUGAUUGCCGAAAAUCAAAACAACUACAAACUUGCCGCCUUUAUCUCUAAUUUCCAGCAAAAUCACCACCUUUUGUAGCAAACCACCACCACAAUCACACUUAUUAAUCCGAAAUCUUCCAAAUCCACUCAUCCUUGCUCAAUUUCCGACCACCGUCAUCAGAAAUCUAAAACUUUUGCUUAAUUAUAGUUUUAGGCCAUAAUUUUAUUUAAUUUUCAGUUUAGCCCCACUACAUUUUUAAACUCGAAUUUGGAAAAUGCCUCCAAGAAAAGCUCGUGAUGCUCAUGCUACAACUUAUAAUCAAGAUGAUGUUUCUAGAGAUAAAGCCCUGGCUGGCAUGAUAGCCAGAAUAUAUAUGUUAGCUGCACAAAUGGCAGAGUUACUUGAUGAACGCCAUCAUACUCCAGAACGCGAAGACAAAUCAAGUGAAAAUUUCUCUAACCCGAUCUCUGGCUAUCGACAUAAAACUAAGUCUACUGACGAUAGAAGAUGGGAAUCUGGAUUGAGGAUUGACAUUCUUGAAUUUCAAGGAAGUGGUCGACUAGAAGAAUUAUUGGCUUGAUUACUGCCAUUGAGGAAGUUUUCGAAUACAAAGAAGUUCUUGAUAAUAAACUAGUUUCGCUUGCUACAACUCGAUUCUGUGGAGGGGCAGUAGCUUCGUGGCAACAAACUAAGGUCACAAAGAUAAGACAAGGUAAAAAGAAGAUUGACUCUUUGGAAAAGCUGAAAAAGCACUUGCGUGGCACAUUCUUACCUCCAAACUACGCCAAACUGUUAUACCAACAACUAUAGAAUUUGAUGCAAGGUUAUCGAUCAGUAGAUGAUUACACCACAUAAUUCCAUUGGUUGGUAGCUCGCAAUAACUUGACAGAGACAAAAGAACAACAUGUUUCCCGCUACAUUAGAAGCCUACGAUCACAGUUUCAAGACCGGUUGCAUUUACUUGAUCCACCUCUGUCUCAGAAGCACACGAAUAGGCUCUACAGUUGGAGAAGCAAUUUAGUCAACUUACUAAUAACUCAAGCUUUUGGGUCCUUGAAUUAUUGUUCGUGAUAAUUCAAACCCGACUUUCCAAUUCCGUAAUUUUACUCCUCCAAAUAAAACUAGUAAAUCUAGUGAAAUUGGUCAAAGCAGUAAAACCCAAUCCUCGAGUUCGGGGUUACGCUAUUUUAAUUGCGAAUAAAGUGGGCGCCAAAUGUAAAAAAGAAGGAAAAUACAGUAAAGGCUUAUUCGUAGGUACUGAGGAAAGUGAAGACUACCAGGAAGAAGAAACUGAAGAGCUCAUUGAGGAGCUCGCUGAAAAGCCAACUAAUGAGCCAACUUUUGAUAGUGGUGGUAGCGCACAAUUCUUUGAAGAACAUGGUGAUAGCGGACCAAUGUUGAUCGUAAACCGUGCAUUCUUCACUCCUAAAGGCCAAGACGAAGAUAAGUUAUUACGACAAAAUUUUUUUCAAACAACUUGCACAAUUGGGGGAAAAGUAUGUGGUAUGGUCAUAGACUUAGGUUGCUGCGAGAAUGUUAUUUCAGAAGAAGCUGUAACGAAUCUAAAUUUAAAAACAGAACCUCAUCAAACUCCAUACAAGCUUACAUGGCUGAAGAAAGAAAAUCAAGUGACAGUAUUGAAACAUUGUUUAGUUUCCUUAUCCAUUGGAUCAAUCUAUAAAGAUAAAAUUUGGUGUGAUGUUGUGGCUAUGGAUGUUUAUCAUCUAUUAUUGGGCAGACCUUGGCAGUAUAAUCGAAACAUAGUGCAUGAUGGGAAAAGAAAUACUUAUAACUUUAUGCUUAACAACACCAAGAUCGUUCUCCUACCAAACAAGGAGCUCACUCUUAAAUAAGACUUGGGUGAUUAUUUGUUAGGCAAGAAGCAGUUUAUAGAUGUUGUAACAAAGACGAAAAGGGUUUUAUAUUUUAUUGGGAAAAGAGAGCCAUAACAAUUCAAAUAUUCCUGAAGCUGUGACGCUUAUACUGGAAGAAUUUUAAGAUUUGUUCCUUUAUGAGCUACCACGGGGAUUACAACCUCUUAAGAACAUACAACACCAGAUAGAUUUGGUUCCAGGUUCAACUUUACCAAAAUAACCCCAUUAUCGUAUAAGUCCUAAAGAACAUAAGGAAUUAAAACACCAAGUGCAAGAGUUACUAGAAAAAGGAUUUAUUCAUGAAAGUUUUAGUUUUUGUGCAGUCUCUACUUUGUUGACUUCAAAGAAAGAUGGUUCUUCGAGGAUGUGCAUGGACAGUCGAGCUAUCAAUAAAAUUACAGUUCAAUAUCAUUAGAACUUCGUUUUCCUUUCUAAUUUAGAACUUUAUUUUCCUUUUACUUCAUGGUUUAAGAUAAUUGUUACUAAUAUAAAUAGCCCUCUCUUGUAGCCCUUAAGGACAGAUUUUUGAGUUUAAUAAUAUUUUAGUUUUCAAAACUCUGUGUGAGUAUUUGAGUUAAGUUAAUUCUUGAUAUUCUGCGGAAUCAACGAGUUUUAAACCCUAAAUUUGCGAUAAUCUUUUAAAUCAAUAUGAAUUUAGUUUGUUCUUUUAUUCCAGUACUUUCUAAAAAUCAACAGAAUAUUGGAACUAUUAACUUCCGCUGCAUCACUACCACUGAAAAUGAGUUGCUGGCAGUUGUUUUGGAUUUGAUAAGUUCAUAACUUUUUUUAUUAGCAGCAAAGUAACUGUUUAUAUAAAUCACUUGGCUAAAAAGUAUUUCAUUUCAAAGAAGGAUGUCAAACCAAGGUUGAUUAGGUAGAUUCUAUUACUAUAAUAGUUUGACUGGGAGAUUAAGGAUAGAAAAGGCACUAAGAAUCAAGUAGCAAAUUAUCUCUCAAGGCUGGAAGCAGAUGCAAGCACUCUCACUAAGCAAGACAUAAAAAAAGCUUUUCUUGAUGAGCAGUUGUUGGUGAUACAGCAUGCACAGAUGCUGCUGCAAUCUGGAUUUCCAAAGUAUGCAAAUUUUGCUAAUUAUUUUGUAAGUGGAUUAUUACCCCUUGAUUUAACCUACCAGCAGAAGAAGAUAAUUCUUCAUGAUGUCAGAAGCUAUCAGUGGGAUGACCUUUACUUGUAGAAGUUGUGUUCAGACCAUGUGAUCAGAAGAUGUGCUCCUAAUCAGGAAAUUUCAAACAUUCUACAAUCUUGUCAUGCUGCAGCAUAUGGUGGACAUUUCGGAGCACAUAGAACAGCAGAAAAAGUUCUUCAAUCAGGUUAUUACUAGCUUUCUAUUUUUAGAGAUGUUUGUGAGUUUGUUAAAAGCUAUGACCAGUGCCAAAGAACAGAAAACAUCUCUCAAAAGCAUGACAUGCCACUAACCAACAUCUUGGAAGUUGAAAUUUUUUACAUAUGGGGAAUAGACUUUAUGGGACCAUUUCCACCCUUCUUUGGCAAAUUAUACAUCUUAGUUGCAGUGGACUAUGUAUCUAAGUGGUCAGAAGCUGCAGCAUUACCAACAAAUAAUGUUAGGGUAGUGGUGAAAUUUCUUUAGAAGAAUAUUUUCUCAAGAUUUGGCACUCCUAGAGCCAUAGUCAGUGAUGAAGAAACCCAUUUUUACAACAGGAUGUGUGCUGCAGCAUUGGCUAAGUAUAGGAUCAGGCAUAAAGUUACUAUAGCAUAUCAUCCACAAACAAGUGGUCAGGUAAAACUGUUCAAUAAGGAGAUAAAAAAUAUUUCAGAGAAAGUGGUGAAUCCCAAUAGAAGGGAUUGCUCUUAGAUUAAAUGACUCCUUAUGGGCAUACCGAACAGCUUACAAAACCUCAUUUGGCAUAUCCCCAUACAGAAUUGUUUACAGGAAAGCUUCUCAUUUACCCUUACAACUGGAACACAAGGCAUAUUGAGCAAUAAAACAACUGAACAUGGAUAUGACUGCUGCAACAAAACAGAGGAAGCUACAGCUUUGUAAGCUAGAAGAGUUGAGGUUGUUUUCUUAUGAAAAUGCAAGAAUCUACAAGGAGAGGACCAAGUAAUGGCAUGACAAGUAAAUCCAGCAAAGGAGCUUAUUCUAGGGCAACAAGUUUUGCUGUAUAACUCAAGACUAAAGCUUUUCCCGAGAAAAUUAAAGUCUAGACUGUCGGGACCUUUCAAACUCAUCAACAUUUAUCCUCAUGGGGCUGUUGAACUUCAAGAUAAAAGGACAGGCUAAGAAUUCAAAGUGAAUGGACAAAGAGUAAAGCAUUACAUUGGAGUCAAUGUGAACAAUCCCAUUGUGGAUUUGUUCCUCAAAGAUCCAUCUUAAGAAGUUAUGAAUGGUCAAGCUGAAGGACCUAAAAUCAAGUGCUGAUUGGGAGGCAAUCCAAUAAGAGAAGUUCUUUCAAAUUUUUAAAGCAUUCAAUUUAGUCUUAAUUGUUUAGUUUGUCUUUCUG